rnacentral:lncRNA from 1 species
AGAAAUAGGACAGCAGCCAUUCCAGGUAGCAGGGGAAUGGCCCUUCCUCACUUUCUGACGAUUUUUUUUUACGCUCUUCUGUCUUUGGGGAAAGCGGCAGGCUAAGGAAAACCGGGAAGCCACGCAGACCUCUGCCUGUGACACAGCACGUGGGCUGGCCUCUGGCAACUGACAGAGGGAACAUUGCUGCUGAUGCGAAGAAAAGUCAUCAGAGAUUCUAAAAAAUAACGGUAAAUAUAGUGAGUCUUGUUUGGUUUUAAUUAUAGCUGAUUGGUGGUCUGUUUCUAGAAAAAAAUAAAUCAGUCUGUUAGCUAUUACUAACUUUCCUUAUUCACUCCCACAGACUAUGGCGGAUAAGCAAGGAGGGACAGGAGGUGACCAAGGCCACAGUGGGGAGAGACCUAGCAGAGAGAGCACCCACCUCAAUCAGGCCACAGCCGGGACGGAGGUUCUGAGCCACGUCUCCUGAGUUCAUUUACUCGGUGGAAGUCAAUCUUAAUUGUCAAUUCGAUGAGAUUUUUAAUCGCCAUGGAAACAGACCUCUGAGCAUGUCACGGAGACAGUUUCUAUAUCAGGUUAAUCGAGGUGAGAAGAUCCAUGCUCAGUAUGGGUAUCAGACGAGAAAGAAAGAAAGAAAGAAA